CUGCGUUAUCUCUUUACCGUAAUAUUUUUAAGAUUUUUAAGAUGUUUAGUGACUACGCCACUCUCAUUUGUUAGGGUGAGAGAACCCAACCAUCAAACACUUGAUUCGACUUUCCCCGCAACAGGUUCAGCCAUUCCUUGAUCGACCUGACACCAACAUUAGGCCUACUCGAUGUGUAUGAAGCAAGCUGCCUCUGCAUCAAGUGAGAGAAGAAGCCGCCACUGAAAAGCUUUUUGGUCAUUUGAAGGACACAAAUGAAAGGACAGGAAUUCUGCUCUGCGGCGUUGGCCUCACUAUUUAUUCAAGAAGCCCUCGGACACCACCAGAAUG